AGGGGCGAAGCCCCUGGCGGGGGUGCGGGGCAGCGCCCCGCUGGGGUCCAAGGGGCGGAGCCCCUGGCUGGGCCCCGAGCGAAAAAUUUGAAUCCGUUUUCCCCAACAGACAUAACCGUUUCGAACCGGUGUGUCUUUUCAGUUUCAGUUGUUGAUCUCCUAUAUAAGGAGUCAUUUGGUCUCGGUUUCGUAACACAAAAAACGUCUCUUUCUCUCUACAUUUGUAAUCCGUAUUCUUUUGCCAGUAAUAGAUUGAUCUUCGAGAAUUAUCCCCGCGAAGAUUUCGUGAACCCAGGCAAGAAUAUGGUCGAAAUACUUUGUUCGGAAAGUGUACGAACACGAUUCCUCGAAGUUAUCCAGGAUUAUCACACCAAAUUUCCAACAGAAUUUGUUGUUGGUUCUUAA